rnacentral:misc_RNA from 1 species
ACUUCUCCAUUUAUGGACGUUGAGGUCUGCAUUGCGAUGCUUCCUCGAAUUACAAGGGUGCAGCCUUUGGCUGUCGACAAUGUAUUAGGUUUCACCACUCGUUGUUUGACUGUCAUUUUGUGCGGCACCGAAAGCCGUCUUGCAUUUCAUGCUUGACAUUUUCAAC